AAUGCAAAAAGAAAUCUUACACAUCAUUGUCGCUGUGCGAUCAAAUCACGCUUCGAGACAAACAAUUCACGUACGUGGCGGAAUUUGUAAUUAUCAGACUGCCAUUGCGUCAGUGCUGAGUGCGACGUUAAUAAUAGCGCGUUGCAAUCGCGAGAAGAGCGCAAGAUUUGCGACGACCGUUGCAAUUCAACAUCGUCGCGACUAACCAGUCUUUCGCAAAACUUGUGAACGCGCGGGGCAGAAAGUGCUGACACUUUUGGGAAUUUAUCGCGACCUUGAAGGUGAUUUGCAUUCGAGCAGUGACGACUUCUGUAGGGACAAAAAAAUAAUGGAUAAACAAGAAAAAAGAAAGAAGCGGAAAGGAGAGAUAAUGGCCUAACAUGCAUGCCAAGGAAUUUUACUAACAAUAAGCCUUGCAUAGUGAAUCAAGCGGAAAGUGGUGCUUCGAUGAAAGCCGCUAAAACUGAAAAAAGCGUCUAUUGCGAAAAUCGAGUGUUUUGUUUCCGAUGUGGCAACGAGAUCGAGUAUGUGUAAAGAGGAAAAGGAAAGAAAGAGGAAACACUUCUUAACACUUUGUCCAUAAAUGACACUGUUUUUAAAUUGAAUAUUGUCAUUUGUUACAGAUAACGCAAAGUGUGUGUUAAAAUGAAUAUUAAAGUGGAAGGACAUUGGGAAAUGAAAAAUCAGUCCGUAGACGAGCGAGACUAAUACACAGUAGGGGGCGGUACCCCGUGUCUUACCGGCACGAGGCAAACAGGGGAACCAGCUGUGUUCUAUCCUUGUUCGGGUCGCUCUAAGGGGGUCGAGGAUUAUUAAAACGGACGAGGGACAGGGAAGAGAAGCGAGAGAACCGGGGGGCAGCCUUCUACUGUUACGGUGCACAGCCUCUGAACCGGUAACCCCCACUACACCGCGUCUCUCUCUUUUCGUCCGUCUCUCUUUCCCUUUCUCUCCUUCAAUCUCCCUGAUUCGGUAUUCAAGUCGGAGCCGCGGUGCAUGCUCUCGGUGCAUAAAAUGCCCCCCUACAAUGAUCCCAAUCAACUGUGGUACCCGUGCGCGCGCGCGCGCGCGCGCGUGAGCGCGAAGCUCAGCAAUCAGAGCCGCUUUGAUGACGGCGGCCAAAAAUUCGGCAUUAAUUCAAUGAGAGACGCCGCGCGAUCGAUCGGUCGAUCGAUCGGAGGCUCGUUGUGGAUCCGUGCGCGGACGAAAGUGGAUCAUCUAUCUUGAUCAGCGAGCUUGAAAGCCGAAACAUUCUCAAACGAGCGUUGAAGCGCCCCUCGAGCGGCAACGUCCCGCGAGAAAUAAACCGAGAGGCCCAAGGUUGCAGUAAAACAUGAUCGAUGAAUGCUAUAAAGAGUCAUCCGAAGAACUUUUACACACACAUAGGCAAGCGGCGAAAAUAAUACAGUAUUUGUCUACUUUGUAGAAAUAGUGUUUUCAUUAAUUGUACAAUAAAGCGACAUUUCU